ensembl:snRNA U2 U2 spliceosomal RNA
AACGCUUCUCUGCCUUUUGGCUAAGAUCAAGUGUAGUAUCUGUUCUUAUCAGUUUAAUAUCUGAUACGUCCCCUACCCGGGGACCAUAUAUUAAAUUGAUUUUUGGAACUGGGAGAUGGAAUAGGGGCUUGCUCCGUCCACUCCACGCAUCGACCCGGUAUUGCAGUGCCUCCAGGAACGGUGCACUUCCC